CGCUAGCGGCGUGCCUAACACAUGCAAGUCGAACGUGAGAGGGUACUUGUAUCCUUGAAAGUGGCGGACGGGUGAGUAAGACGUAGGUGACCUGCCUUGAAGUGGGGGAUAACCAUUGGAAACGAUGGCUAAUACCGCAUAAGCUGGUGACGAUGGGGAAUCGUUAUCAGGAAAGCUUUAGUGCUUUGAGAGGGGCCUACGGCCGAUUAGCUAGUUGGUGAGGUAAAGGCUCACCAAGGCGAUGAUCGGUAGCUGGUCUGAGAGGACGAUCAGCCACACGGGAACUGAGACACGGUCCCGACUCCUACGGGGGCAGCAGUGAGGAAUAUUCGGCAAGUGGGGCAACCCUGACCGAGCAACGCCGCGUGGAGGAUGACGGUUUUCGGAUUGUAAACUCCUUUUCUC
rnacentral:rRNA from 1 species